CGACAUCUAGUAGUAGACCUACUGUAUCGAAGUCACAAAAUUGUCUAUAGAGAAAUUUCUCCGUAAGGUGCAUGUAAAGUAAGACGCGGAUUAUUAUUUUUCAGUUGGUAGCGAUUUGAAGCAAAAGAUACAAUUGCUUUUAUCCGAAGUCUCGUUACGUUGAGGUUAUCUUGGAAAGUGUGGGGAUUAUGACAAACGCUUUAGAUAUGAAUCAACUAGUACACGAAGAUAAAAAGCAAUUGCACUGUGCAAGAAACGGAAUCACCGGCGUACCGACAAGGCAUAUAAACCCACUAUCAUCAAGAGAACUCUUAUCAGGGAGUGGUGUUGGUGUUGUAUAAAAGCACGAAGUGACUCGUUAAAUGUAGUAAUAGCCCAAAGCGAGACUGGAGUGCUCCGGUGUAUGUACGUGGGCCGAGAGAGACCACUCUGUUUUUUCGCAUUGUUGGCGCAAGUAGUUUGUUAACGGCGGAUGUCGGCGAUGUCAUCUUCAGGCUUUAACGAGGAAAGGAGCAAAAAUUCUGAAGAAAUAUCAGAUGGUGUUUUCGUGGAGUCGGAUAAUAGCUUGGAACACCUUUCAGAGGAUAUAAAAAAUUUUAGUCCACAAGUUGUUAGCAAGUGAAGUUCGGUGACGGUGAUGUCGGGGAGGAAAACUAUUGAUGGGUGUGCCUGGAACACAAGACAAGUGGAUUCGUUGAUGGGAAUUUUCGAUAAGAAAGCGAGGGUAACAGUCAACGCAGCCAAUUAGAUGAGGAAAAAACUGUAGGAUAAGGAUGUGUGCCGGCCGCUCCCGACCAAAGACGUUCGUGGAUGGCAUUAUACAUGGGAAAAAUCCGCUGUCCCCUAUUUUCCUGGAAUGAACAACCCUAAGGAACGUUACGACUUGAAAGAUACCGAGGGACCCAAGGGCCUUGAUUGUAAAAAAUGUUAAAAUUUAUGACGGUCCCUAGGGUUCCUGCAGCUCCGAAGAAGGAUGAUAAAGAUCUGAUGAUCAUCUUGACCGAGGGUUUCUUUAUGGUUUAUGUCACGGGGCAUAACACUUGAAAAUACCUAAAAAUAUAUAUAUUUUAUCAAAUUCUGUUUUUUUAUGCUUCGUUUAAAAUUUAUUGCAUCCUCUAAAAACAAUGAUCCGUAUUAUACCACAUACGUGUACUUUUUUACUAUAUACGUUCUAUGUAAAUUUUCCAUAAAUGUAUAAAAAUCCGUAAUCUAAAAGUAAAGAUAUUUCUGAUGAAAAAGAAAUACAAUUCUAGAGUUGCUUGAUUGUAUUUUGUUGACAGUGAAUGUGUUAAUGCGUACAAAACGUGCAUGAAUGUAAAUAACCAAAAGUGCUCAGUGAAACGCAUUCUGUCUAUGAAAGAAGCUCUAUCGCCUGAUAUUCUUCAAGCGCCUUUGGUGACGCGUUACACCGGUAAACCGUUCGCAUACCUACUUAUUUAUAUCGCGCAACUUUCACUGAUAACGAGAGCAACAUUCCAGAAGCGGAGUCUUCUGAAUAUUUAGAGAGUAUACGGGUUUUACGUCGAAGCAGUCGCGUAGAGACGGCAGUUACACGUACGGACCUUCUUGUGAACGAGCGUGAAAACGCAUUGGUUUCCUGUUCUUUUUCCUCGUCAUCGCAACCUUGCCCCUAACUUGCACGAUUUUAAAGAUUCGUUCUGAACCGAGCCUCGUUGCGCGCAUUACGAAUAAUUGUUACCAUGGUAACAGUGACCUGUUCCUCUGCUAAAAUAUACGACGGACUUCGCGAUGAGAAAAGAAACUAAAUCGUAAUAGGAUAUCGUCCUACCAAACUAUAGUAAGUAAUUUCUUUGCUUUAUCUUUCUUCUUGAAUCAUUGUUUAAUAGUUGUUUGCUGAUUGUGUUCAACGGAGUAAUUUUUAGUCUGAUUGUCUGUCCUUGCAUGGAAUAUAGCGGUAAGUUGUUAUUCUUUGACGUUGUGAACCGCGUUUUCUGAAUUGGUGUGUGGAAAUUUUAGGCACACGAAAUUAGCUAAUUCUGGUCGGGGAGAAUGGAAAUCAAAACAACGCAAUGUGUCGUUUCCUGAAAAAUCUUGCUUUAUGCAACGCUGAAACUACUAAAAAUAACCUAAUAUAUAUGUUUAUUUUCAAUAUUCCUAGUAAUUAUACAAUUAUAUACCGAAUAACUUUUUCAUCUAUAUUUUUACAUGUAUACAUAUUUUAAUAAGCUUGGGAACAUAACGCUUAUCGAUUAUGCAUAGAUAACGCCAUAGAUACAAUUCGAAACUUCCUGCUAAUAUGUGUCGUUAAGCUAUCUAUAUAUAAUACCAUUUGAAACAAGCAAAAUGAAGUAAAAGACGAUCUCUGAACAUUGAUACGCUCAUUCCUGUUUGGAUUUAAUAUCAAGGAAACGAGGACAUUUUAUUCGAUGCAGAUCUUCCGAAUAAAAUAAUUUGUACGCCCGUACUGAAUUAAUUUCUACGUUUUUCUCAUAUUCUUCCGCAACCUAGUUCGGUUUUAAUAUAGCAGUUUACAUCACAUUACAAUUCUCAUCGACAUCAUACACGAUAUACAUUUAGAAUAAAUUGCACUU